AAAAAGUAUCGGGGUAGCCAUGUUAGUCUGUAUCCAUAAAAACAAUGAGGAGUCUGGUGACACCUUAAAGACUAACAGAUUUAUUUGGGCAUAAGCUUUCAUGGGUAAAAAACCCACUUCUUCAGAUGCAGGAGUGAAGAUUACAGAUGCA